rnacentral:rRNA from 1 species
UACGUAGGGUGCGAGCGUUAAUCGGAAUUACUGGGCGUAAAGUGUGCGCAGGCGGCCGAGCAAGUCGAGUGUGAAAGCCCCGAGCUUAACUUGGGAACUGCGCUCGAAACUACUUGGCUAGAGUGUGGCAGAGGGAGGUGGAAUUCCACGUGUAGCGGUGAAAUGCGUAGAGGAUGAUGGAGGAACACCGAUGGCGAAGGCAGCCUCCGUGGGCCAACACUGACGCUCAGUGCACGAAAGCGUGGGGAGCAAACAGG